UCAUUAGUAUUCCAUUUUGUAUUCUUCCAUUUGCUUUUAUACAGGAUUUGAUGAUCGGAUUUGGUACUUAAGUACCGUCAACAAUGCUAUUGCUUUCCCAAGUUGAAGAUGUAUCAAAUCAUUAAAAGAUAACGGUUGGUUUUGUUAAUAACACGAAAAUAAAUUGAAGGUGUGAUGUUGAUGAGAAAACACUGCGGCCUGAGAGAUCUGCUUAACUCCAGUGCAGGUCCAAGACUAGCUUCGAGUGUGUCAAGCGCGUGCUAGCUGAUUUGAUCCUGCAGUCAGCAAGAAAGACAAAAGCAGAGUUAGUUAGCCGAUAGCCGAUCGGCCGAUAGCGUAUCAUUGGUGGUCUCAGCCGAUGGGGUUAGACCAAAUCGGCUAUGGAUUGGAUAUAUCAAAGAAUAAUAAACCCUAAAUAUGUCUCAUCGGCUGUAACACUGUCUAUCAAGAUUGAUAAAGAAGCUUAAGAAAAUAUUAUUAAAAUAGCCGAUGUAACAGUAUUUAGAGCAAUAACGAUAAUGUACUAGCUAAUACUCUAGUACAGAUCUAUAUAGGCAAAUCAACUAUAGUAAUAUAUCAAAUAGAGGUCAAUAGUCAAUAUUGAUAGCCCAGCCGAUAUGACCUAGACUUGAUAUAUUACUAUUAGGUGAUUUGUCUAUAUAAAUGGCAAAUAUACAUGAAACAGAUAAAGAAGCAUGUGUAUUAGGUAAGAUCGGCUGAAACCCCGAUGCUACUCCAAUUAGCAAUCAAGAAGCAUGCUUGAGAUUAUGGUUCUAAACACGACUUAGUAGGUCGAAUGUACUGAUGCAACACUAAGUAUGAAAAUAAACACAAUAUCUAGACAAUCAAGCCGUUGACUAAUUUUCAAGGUGGUAGAUGUCUAAGCUAAUCUAAUUAUCUAGCAAGACGAUUUAGCUGAUACCGGCAAAAACCCUAUAGCGAGAAGCAGCUGAUAAAGCUUAAUUGAAUUGCUAAGACUAGAUUAACAGAGACAUAUAAUAGCAAUGAUCAUGAUACAAGGACUAAGAUAUCUAAAACGGCAUAAUAGUCCCGAUACCACAGGCCAUCGAGACGGGUUAUCUUUUGUGAAGCGAACUUGUCAAAAAGUAAAAACGAAAAGGGUGGCGAUGCGCCGAAGUUGUAUUGGAUUAUCUCCCGCAUUACAAUGCUAAGGGGCUCAUAUUUAUACCCCGAAUACAAACUUAGUCCAUUAUAGACACGACUCAAACCUUUCUAAAGAUAGAAUACAAACAAGACCAUAUACGUUGGUUUCUUACCAAAUAUCUAACAAACCGACUCAAAUAUCCUAAUUAAUAGAUAAAAUUGCCUCAAAUGAGCUAUAUCGCUAAUUGGUAAUGACGGUUAUUCCAAUCUAGAUCCAAGCCGAGCCCAAGUCAUACCAUAUCGGCUGUAUCGGCCAUUGGCCUCAUCAACCUUGAUCAACUCACACUCUAUGUCUAGCCGAUAUGUUGUCCAACCGAUGCACAGUCCAACUUCGAUUUCAACUCGAUUCCACACCAAAUCCACCUCGAUCUUUCUAUUUCUUCUCCGAGUCUCAUGCAAAAUUCCGUUGUUAACAGAUGCGAAGAGAAAAUAAUCAAGCAGUUUGGGGGUUGAGUUUUUCCAACAUUUAUCUCCGUACUUUGGUUAAAGAGUUGAUUGCAUAACUAUAGUGUAGGUCGUUUGGAUUUGGUACUAUAGUGGUAGGUCGUAUUUACUUUGAGAGAAUCCCUUAUAUGCCACUGAAAAUUGGUCGGAUUUCUUAUAUGCCACUGAAAAUUGACUCUUCCCUUAAAAGCCAUUGGUUCAAAUUCACGCACCCUCUCAUAUCACUUCCGUCAAUUGACUGUGGGUUGACCGUUAACUCUAAAGUAAAAAAAGGCGUAUUUACCCUUCUGAGUAUAGGACAUGUAACAAAUCAAAAGGGCAAAUACGUCUUUUUUACUUUAUGGUUAACGGUCAAUACAUAGUCAACUAACGGUAGUGGUAUAAGAGGGUGCACAAAUUUAGACCAAUAGCAUAUAGAGGAAGAGCCAAAUUUUGGUGGCAUAUAAGGGAUCAGACCAAUUUUUAGUGGCAUAUAAGAGAUUCUCUCUUACUUUAAUUGGAGCUAUGUAAGUGUCACGUAGGUGUUAUAUGAGAUGAAAACCAGUCAACAAACCAUAUAGGUGCCACAUAAGUCGAAACCACCGUAAUACUAUGUAUGAAUUCAGUUUUUUGCGUUGGUUUUAGAAAUUAGGAUGCUCAUACCGGUUUAGCGGUCGAUGAACGCAAAUAACUUAACCUAUAAUUGAGGGAUGUUUGGUGGAAACAGAAGUCUGAAACAUAUUUCAAGUAACAUAUGUGCAGUCUGAAGUUGUAGAAUACAGAUCCAAAUAAGGUUAUGUAUAUGCAAUCAUAUUAAUAAAUAUCAUAGCCAAGCAAAUGCAAUCACAGUGUCCCUACCACUUUCUUUCUUACAAUAAGGAGGCCAAAAUAAUCAUCUCCAUUGCAAUGUCAUUAGUAACCAGGACCUUGGCUCCUGACUGUUGUUUCCUCUAAAGUUUUGUUUGUCCCCAUAUUACCUCAGCUCUUGUUGCUAUGAUCCCAAAAGGAAAUAAUUUAUGACAUAAAAUUUGGUAGAUUUACUUGAGGCAAUAACAGCGCUAAGUUAUUAGACAUACAAAGAUUUCCUUGUACAAUACCAAGAAAAAGAAAUGCACAAAUUUUCAUGACACUCAUCUAUUUCAGCAUAAUAAAGUGCUAUCUGAAGCAUCAACUUGCAUAUGAUUCUAUAUAUCUUAUUAUUUUUAUCACAUUAUAAUUAUAGCCCUUAGUUUAGCAAUCAGAUUGUUAGAUGAUUUUAGUUUGACAAAAAAAAUGUUAAUAACAGAUCGUUUUUAUGUAAUGACACAAUCUAUAAUUGUAACUCUUAUGUUAAAAGCAGAGAGGUCAAAUUUAAAUCAAAAUGCUUACAUGCUCCCUAUAUAUUUGUUUAUAUGCAUUCACACAUACUUUUCCCACCGAUGACCCAGGUCACAGGGCAAAUGUUACAGCAUUGAAACUUAGUGUUCCUUUGUAAUAGCUAAGAAAAGCUAAAGCAUAAUAGAACCUGUGGUGAUAGCUGAGGAGCUUCAUUUGUCUAGGUAUGCAUCCCUGCAGUGACUCCAAUUUCUGAACAGCAUGAACCAACAGCCUGCCUGGCUUUUCUAUUUCAGGGAUAAAUCACAAUGUGACUAAAAUAACAAACUAUAUUAAUGUAUUGUUGAAAAUGAAAAACUAUAAAUACAUUACAAUUUGAUAGGAUGCUAUCUUUUUUUUACAGUCCCCUUAAAUGAAAUCUGUCCACUCAAAAGCUGAAAAUAGAAAAGAGGCUUAAGCACUUCAUUGAUCACCUUUUAGUCUAAAUUUACUUCAGAUUUUAGUCUUCUAGGUUUUGAGGCAUAAUUAUGUAACUAUAUCAUUACAAAAAUGAAUAGAUAAGUACUGUUGUUUCCAAUUUAGCAGUUUAGGACAUACAUGUGUUGAACUUCUACCCACAUGAACACCGUGAGAGGUAGAAGUACAGAUACUCACCAGUCACCACAGACUUUCUAUAAUGGUGUAGUUCCAGGGACCUCUUGUCUUUCCAUUGGCAAUCGUCCUUGGAGAAGGAUAAGAAGAGGCACUGCAGAGGAGGUCCUGGGGAGUCAGAGGCGUUCAAGUGGAGAUGCGGGAGAUGAGGAGGCAGCGAUCCCCAAGUGACAUUCCGCGUGGGUUGCCAUUGGAUCAAGCCAUACCUCCCGCCAUUGCCGAAUCGAGCCCAAAUAGGAGGAGGUGUUUGUGUUGGUAUUGGGGAUGAGGAGGAAGAGGAGGGGGUGUGGGCGUGUGGCUAGGGGCAGGCGGAGGUGGAAGCAGAGAAAGGGAAGGAUGGCGAGCAGGAAGAGGCGACGGAGUGGGAGGAGCAGGCGGCGGUGACGGUUUGGAGUGGUGGUGGCGGGGACUGGAGGAGAGGAGAGGAGAGGAGGAGAUGGAGGCUGUGGUGGCGCUAGGAUGGGGAGAGGCAGCGAUGGCAGGAGCAGAUGGCAGUGGCGGCGGAAGGAGAGGAGGCGGAGGCGGAGGCGAC
rnacentral:lncRNA from 1 species